rnacentral:rRNA from 1 species
AUCUGGUUGAUCCUGCCAGAGGUUACUGCUAUCGGUGUUCGCCUAAGCCAUGCGAGUCAUAUGUAGCAAUACAUGGCGUACUGCUCACUAACACGUGGAUAACCUGCCCUUGGGACUGACAUAACCCCGGGAAACUGGGGAUAAUUCCGGAUAACGCAUAUUUGCUGGAAUGCUUUAUGCGUCAAAAGGAUUCGUCUGCCCAAUGAUGGGUCUGCCGUCUACCAUGUAAUAGUGGGUGUAAUGUACCUACUAGCCAGCGCACGGGUACGGGUUGUGAGAGCAAGAGCCCGGAGAUGGAUUCUGAGACAUGAAUCCAGGCCCUACGGGGCGCAGCAGGCGCGAAAACUUUACAAUGCGGGAAACCGUGAUAAGGGGACACCGAGUGCCAGCAUCAUAUGCUGGCUGUCCGGAUGUGUAAAAUACAUCCGUUAGCAAGGGCCGGGCAAGACCGGUGCCAGCCGCCGCGGUAACACCGGCGGCCCGAGUGGUGAUCGUGAUUAUUGGGUCUAAAGGGUCCGUAGCCGGUUUGGUCAGUCCUCCGGGAAAUCUGAUAGCUCAACUAUUAGGCUUUCGGGGGAUACUGCCAGACUUGGAACCGGGAGAGGUAAGAGGUACUACAGGGGUAGGAGUGAAAUCUUGUAAUCCCUGUGGGACCACCUGUGGCGAAGGCGUCUUACCAGAACGGGUUCGACGGUGAGGGACGAAAGCUGGGGGCACGAACCGGAUUAGAUACCCGGGUAGUCCCAGCCGUAAACGAUGCUCGCUAGGUGUCAGGCAUGGCGCGACCGUGUCUGGUGCCGCAGGGAAGCCGUGAAGCGAGCCACCUGGGAAGUACGGCCGCAAGGCUGAAACUUAAAGGAAUUGGCGGGGGAGCACAACAACGGGUGGAGCCUGCGGUUUAAUUGGACUCAACGCCGGACAACUCACCGGGGGCGACAGUAAUAUGUAGGCCAAGCUGAAGACUUUGCCUGAAUCGCUGAGAGGAGGUGCAUGGCCGUCGCCAGUUCGUACUGUGAAGCAUCCUGUUAAGUCAGGCAACGAGCGAGACCCAAAUCGAAU